rnacentral:rRNA from 1 species
GGGUCAGUAGGUUGGUCGUGCCACCGGUACGUACUGGUCUCACUGAUUCCUCCUUCCUGAAUAACCGUAAUGCCAUUAAUUUGGUGUUGCGGGGAAACAGGACUGUUACUUUGAAAAAAUUAGAGCGUUUAAAGCAAGCUAACGCUUGAAUACAUUAGCAUGGAAUAAUGAAAUAGGACGAUCGAUCCUAUUUUGUUGGUUUCUAGGAUUGACGUA